UGACUGGGGUGGGGCACAAGAGGACUUUCUGGGGUGACGGAAAUGUUCUUUAUGUUCAUCUGGGUGGAGGUUAUGUGGGUGUAGGCACAGACAAAAACCUACCACCCGUGUACUUAAGAUGUGUGCAUUUCACUCUAUGGAAACCCUACCCCAAUAAGGAAAUAAUAAGAAAGCAGGAGCCAGAGAAUAGCUAGACUACCCCUCCCGAUGCUCUCUUUACAAUAAAUUCCUUGUUUUUCCACAUGGCUUGACCUAGUGUCUGACCCUUGAAGACAAAAGAACUCACUCUCAGGUUGUGAGGACCUGUCAGACUUCUUGCCAGGAACCACCAGGUAACGCUGCCAAAUGGGGCAGAGCGUGUGCAUGUGCAUUGUGUGUGUGUGCAUACGUGCACAUGUAUACGUGUGAGUGUGUGUGUUUCCAUUUUGGCCAGCAAGGUGCUGUUUUGUUUUGUUUUUAAUAGAAACAUCACUUUUUGAUAAGCUAGGGCCACAAUAGACAGCUUCCAGAACAGAAAUAAGGCAGUCCCAAGACAACGGAGUGUAAAAUUGUAGCAGAUAGGUUAAUUACUCUUCACCCGCAUCCUCUCCCUCGGCAUUAUCCACUCCAACCUCCUCAUAAUCCUUCUCAAGGGCAGCCCUGUCCUCACAGCCUCCAUGCCCCGACCCACAUACCAGCCAACAAAGGCAAGCUCGGAAUACAUCAAUUCUAACCUUCAUGAACGUGAAUACCUUUAGGGAAGGCAGGCACCCUGGUCUAUGAGGUCUGUAUCCCUCUCCAUUGUCUGGACUGUGAGGGCAUUUGCCUCAGGGACCAGGACUUGGGGGAUGGAGUGAAAUUGAGGAUCCCUCCCAUUCUCAAGAGAAACUCCGGGGCCUGCUUGCUCCCCCUCAUCCCUGGUGCUGGCCCCUGCCAGCCCUUUGUCUCCACCUGAGCCAUGUGGGUCCCUCUCUCCCUCCCUCUUUCUGAGACCCUUAUGACUCUUCCCCAGUACCCUUUUCUUGGGACUCUAUCUCUGGGCCCUGCAGAUCCUUUCCUGGGAGGUCCAGGGGCAGAAAGGCAGGAUAGGGCACAGGGCUGGCCAUCCCCUUCUCCAUCCCUGUGGUCAUUCCUUUCCAGGAGCUCCCAUCUGGGGCCCCAGCCCUGCCGGCUCCGCGACCCUCACAGAGAUGCCAAGCUGCAGCUGGGCACCUCAUAGCUCAUGCCCUGUACGGGCCCAAGUAGACAGCUGCUGGGAGGGUCUGUCAUCCUGAGGCCAGAGCGCUUUCCUGAUGCUCAUUAUCCAAACUGCAGACCAACAGCUCGGAUCCUGUCAUCCCUGCUGAAAUGGGCUGCAGGAGUGACAGCAUGUGAUGCCCGAGGAUAAGUCAGAGGCUGGCUGAGUAGGGAAAGAGCUGUGUGGCCCGGCAGAUAGGAAAUGACGGGUGCUGUGUCAGAGCCUCAUAAACAAGCAUGACUUCACGCACGUCCCCCUCGUCCCUGCACACACCCCUCUGAGGUCAUGCAGACUCCUCCCGUCCCCAGGGCCUGCUGCACAUAGGCCCUGACGCCAUGGGGCACGCACUUCUGGGGCUGGGCCUAGGGCUUGCGCAAGAACCACAGGCACAUGGGCUGCCCCGGCCCCGCCGCAUGAACCAUGGAGGCACCAGGCACCUCUCUGUUCCAGGCCUUGGCCCGGGUACCAGGGACACAGAAAGUGGCCCUUAGCCCCCAGCUCUCAGGGACUGGUGGGGAACAGGGCCAUGUGACUAUCCCAUCACAAUAGGAUAUGGGGCCAAGUCCAAGGCCCUGAGGACAGCCAGCAGAAAGAUGGAUUUCUUCUGCCCUGGGUCAGAAAAAGCUUCUGGGAGGAGGAAGCUUUGCAAAUGUGUCCUGAUGUAACUUGCCAAAGAAAGCAAAGGAAAAAGACUCCAGGCAGGGAGGCCAGGGAGGGCUGCCCGGAGGAGGGAAGCCAAGUGCAGGGACCAGAGAGGACUGCUGACCCACCAGCCCCUGGUUUCCUGCAUUCUGCCUCCCAGAGCUGCCAAGGGAGCCACACAGAUUCAGAGCAGCCCAGCAGUCCUGGUUUGGGGUGAACUCCAACACCCCCAGAGCAAGGAGAACACAAGGGAUGGCAGACAGGGCUUCCUGAGAUGUCCCCUAUCCCCUCCCGGGGGGCCCUGAGGCCCAGCGGUCCUAGCAGUUACAAAGGCCUGCCUGCGGCAGCAUCCCUGCUCCAUGUGAGUUCUGGCCCGGAACCCCCACCCAGACCCGCAGAGCUCCCCCAGCCAUCCGUAUCUCCCCUCCCCCCAGUCUGUAAUUUCCAAGUGCUCCCACCCACCAGGUGGCAGGUGGCCAACCUCCCUUUGGUCGCCAGGGUUCAGGCGCUGAUGUGGCUUCAGGUUCUGUGCCUGGACCCGAAGGAGAAGGCUGAGCCCCAGCGGUGCAUGCAGCCCCCACUCUGGGCCUCUGCUGUCACCCCUCACCCCACCCCUAGUCCUCCUGUACAUGUCCACAGCUGGCCGGCAGGAAGUGUGCCUUCCCCGUGCAGGACUGGCGACGGACCCUCCUUGGGGCCACAGCUGGGACACGCUGGAGCCAGGGCUAGAGCUCAGAACCCAGCCGGGGGACGCGUCGGUCUGGUGGGGCGUGCCUGGCACUUCUGGGCAGCGUCCCCCGGAGGCCUGUGCCACGAAGUCGGCAGGCCCAGACGCAGCUGUCUGCCCCGGGAAACGAGUAGCUGACCCGCGGCCAACCGGAGAGGGGAAGAAGGCCCUCGUAGGAAGGCGGGGCUGGCGCCCAGCGCCUGUGGGCGGGGCUGCGGGUCACGUGGGGUCAGGACGCAGCCCCCUCCCAGCUUUAAAGAGGAGCUUCUGUCUUCUGACGUUAACAGGCUGGCGAGGAGCUGGAAAUGCUCAGAUGAUCUGUGCGGCUCAGAUCCCACGCAACUGGCACGGGCGUGGGCGGCCCGCGUGCGCGCUAAAUCACGUGACCUUCCACUACCCUGUUGUGCCCAGUUGAUAAACAGAUCCUCCGGAGACUUGCGGUGACUUCCUACAGGGGGCCAAGCCGGGUGGCAACCUGCCACGGCCAGCCAGGCUAUGCGUUCGCCACCAACCCCUGCACCUCUCCCCAGGCUGGCUGCCUCCCUGAAGGCUUGAUGGUGGCCACAACCCAGGCUGGUCCGCGCUGCCGCUGGCCGGGGCUUGGUGCGUGAUGCAGGGAGGACCUUGUCGGAGUCUUGGCCCCAGGGGAGGCUUUCAAAGCUCAGGCUGGGGCCUCGCAACAGUCUGUAGACCUUGGGGAUUGAUUCCUCUGCUGUGCAGAGAACAUGCUGCCGGGGGAGCUGGGGUUCCUCGGCUCAGACGCUACACAUGCAGGCUGAGCUCCAUCAGGCUGUUUUCCCCUCACAGGCUGCCUCAUAGAACCGUUUCAGAGGCUGGCAUGCCGGAGACGGGCCCCACAGCCUGCACCUGUCUCAAGAAGGCUGCCACCAUUACCUUUCCAGGUCCUUCCCAUCUGCUGCUCCCCUGGGGAGCCCAAAGGCCCCCGUGCCGCCCGGCCCAUCUGAGGCAGCCCCCUUGGAGUAAAGGCGCAUCUCUUGCACCUCUUUUCCCUAGAGCUGUUUUUGUGCUUCUGGCUGGAAUCAGGUGAAAUUGCUUGUGACAAUCCUGGAAUUUAGUGGCAGAACCAACACUAGGAUACAGACCUAUCAGGCCUCGGAGUCCUUGCCUUUUUUUUUUUUUUAAGGUUUAUUUGAGAGAGAGAGGAGAGGCAGAGGGAGAAGGAGAGAGAAUCUCAAGCAGACUCCACGCUGAGCAUGGACCCUAACAUGGAGCUCAAGCUCACGACCCUGAGACCAGGACCUGAGCUCAAACCAAGAGUUGGACACUCAACCCACUGAGCCACCCCAAGGACCCGUUGGAGUCCAAGCACCUGUUGGAGUCCUUGCUUUUAAUCAGUGUGCGCCUUCCCUCCUCCACAGUCAUGGGUUCUGAGUCCCUGCCCCGACCUGUCACUUUGUAUCCCUGAGCCAUGGUUUCCUCAUCUGUAAAUAGGUUAGCAAUGCUCACGUGCAAGCUCGUUAUAAGGCUGGGAGGAAAGAAAGAACACAGUAGGUCUGGUUGCCCAUUGUUCAUGUCCGGGAGCCUGGAACCAAGAUUAAUGCUUGGCCAGUUCCUGGGAUUGUGACCCUCAGAAUCUUUUUGCUACUGAUGGAUGACAUUGUGUAUCCCCAGAUCAGUGGGGCAUCGCUGAGAAGUAGCAGCUUCUCAGGACUUGUCAGGAUUGUUUCCUGCAAACAUCAAGAUUGCUGAUACAUCUAGUUUCACCCUUAGGACCCUGAGAUUUGGUUACUAUAGCAGGAUGUGCCUAUGUGACCAGCUGUCUGGAAGACCCUGAGAUCCUGGGACUUGAGUAGGCUUCCCUGGACAGACAUUUCAUGUGUGUCCCUAUAGUUCUCUGAUGCAGAGAACAGUGUGUCCUGUGUGGCCCCUAUGAGGAGGGCAGGGCUUGGGAGUCUGUGCCUGACCUUUCAGGACCUUUCCCGACCUUUCUGGACCUCGCCCAAUACAUAUCUUUUUCCUAUU